rnacentral:rRNA from 1 species
UAAACGACUCUCGGCAACGGAUAUCUCGGCUCACGCAUCGAUGAAGAACGUAGCAAAAUGCGAUACUUGGUGUGAAUUGCAGAAUCCCGUGWWCCAUCGAGWUUUUGAACGCAAGUUGCGCCCGAAGCCAUCUGGUUGAGGGCACGUCUGCCUGGGCGUCACGC